rnacentral:rRNA from 1 species
GAUGAACGCUGGCGGCGUGCCUAAUACAUGCAAGUCGAGCGAACGGACGAGAAGCUUGCUUUUCUGAUGUUAGCGGCGGACGGGUGAGUAACACGUGGAUAACCUACCUAUAAGACUGGGAUAACUUCGGGAAACCGGAGCUAAUACCGGAUAAUAUUUUGAACCGCAUGGUUCAAAAGUGAAAGACGGUCUUGCUGUCACUUAUAGAUGGAUCCGCGCUGCAUUAGCUAGUUGGUAAGGUAACGGCUUACCAAGGCAACGAUGCAUAGCCGACCGGAGAGGGUGAUCGGCCACACGGGAACUGAGACACGGUCCAGACUCCUACGGGAGGCAGCAGUAGGGAAUCGUCCGCAAUGGGCGAAAGCCUGACGGAGCAACGCCGCGUGAGUGAUGAAGGUCUUCGGAUCGUAAAACUCUGUUAUUAGGGAAGAACAUAUGUGUAAGUAACUGUGCACAUCUUGACGGUACCUAAUCAGAAAGCCACGGCUAACUACGUG